rnacentral:lncRNA from 10 species
UUCUUACUCACUCUCCUGCUCUGCCCUGGUAAGACGCCCCAGUAAGACGAUGCUUGCUUCCCCUUCGCCUUCUGCCAUGAUUUUAAGUUUCCUGAAGCCUCUCAGCCAUGCUUCCAGUUAAGCCUGCGGAACUGAGCUGGACAGAAGUUUGUAUUACAGGCUCGUAGCACCGGAGGUUUCUGAUGGAGCAGACAACUUGAGGAAGGCCGGCCUUGCUGAACACAGUGGACUGACCGGGUCUGGACCCCUCCCCCACAGGUGACUGUGCACUGCAGCAGAGAGAAGAGGAAGGAGUCAGAAACACUCUACUGAGGACACACCAGGGUCUGUGAGUCAUGCGAAGGGGUUGCUAAGGCAGGGCAAGGCGAGAAUUUCACAACUGGCUUCCUCUGCAUCCUCCUCUUGGCUGGAUUUAGAUUCUGUAAGUGGAAAGCAAAUCAAACUUCUCUCCUUCCCAAGGCACUGUGCUCUCCCUGGAAUACCAGAAAGCUAUUGGAAAUGUUCUCAAGAAACACUGGAUAUGAGAAAGACCUCAUAAUCUGUGACUAAAUGAAACAGUGUGAAGAGAUGUCUAUAACAUGAUUUCAGUACAGAGGGAUACAAAAUGAUACUCACGAAUUUCUUUAAGGGCGAUAACAGGACUGAUUUCAUAAACACUAUGUUUGAAUGAAAGAUGUAAUGUGAUAAAGGCCAAGGAAUAUCCACGAAGCCAAACCAAAAGCAAAGAACAGAAGAGGAAGUAAAAGGAGGGACAACAGAGUCAUGGAGAAAGAACCACAGGUAGGAAGCAUGGGACCUCAAGAGUAUACAACCAACAGAAAGGAAAUCUUCCAAGUCUGGAAUAGGAAGCAACUGCAGCAUCCGCUGGGACCUGCUGUGCAGCAUGCUUCCUACGAAAUCACUCAGCUCCUGGUAGAAUGCCUCUAGUGAUGGGGACCUUGUUACUUACAGAGGGAGUAUAUUUUCAUUUUGGACAGUUAAUAUUUAUUUACUUAUUCAUUCAUUUCAAAAGUUAUAACCAUUACAUAAAUAUAUACCAAGUGCUGUUCUUGGAUGCUGGAGAUAUAAGCAAGCUCAAGAUAGACAAAGGCUUAGUCCUUGUGGAACCUAAAUUCUUGUGGGGAGGAAGAUAACAGAUAAAUGACCACAUAAAAAUACAUCCAUGCACUGAGAAGAGCUAUGAAGAAUAAAACGGGGUAAAGGGUUCAGAAAACAAUAUGAAGGAAGAAUAUGUUGACAGGCUGUUAAGGAAGGUCUCUCUGAGGAGACAAUAUGGCUAGAAUGUUCUCAGCCCUUGAAUUAAUUCUGUUAUCUAAAGCAAUUUGAAAUAAAUUGAACAUCCUUCCUAUUCAAUAGCUCUUUGAAGUUUUGAAUGUAAGUCGUUUCUCAUGUACAGUAAACCUCUAUAGGUACCUCAUUACUUCCUCCUAAGACACAGCUUUGGAAUUGUCAUGUCUGUCUCUAUCUAUACUUCCUGGCAAACAGUCAUGACCCAAAACCACAUCAGUGCUCCUGAAAUGGCUAGGCUGAUACUGAGCAAAGCUGCACAAUCCUCUCUUUCGAUUUGGAGGCUCUACUUGUUAUAGUGAUGCCUGUAAUUAUAUUAGCUUCCUUUAUGAUCACUGAUUAAUAUAGGUUCAUGUUGCGCUUUUGCACAGAACAGCCCAUGGAUUGUCAUUAAACUUAGUCUCUUUCCAUUCUACACAUGGGCAGUUGGGAUUCACAUAUAACCCUGUUUCAAGACAGCGUAACAGUUUUGAUAAAUCUAAUGGAUGGAAGUAAUGAAACAACUA